GACGAACGCUGGCGGCGUGCCUAAUACAUGCAAGUCGAACGCUUCUUUCCUCCCGAGUGCUUGCACUCAAUUGGAAAGAGGAGUGGCGGACGGGUGAGUAACACGUGGGUAACCUACCCAUCAGAGGGGGAUAACACUUGGAAACAGGUGCUAAUACCGCAUAACAGUUUAUGCCGCAUGGCAUAAGAGUGAAAGGCGCUUUCGGGUGUCGUUGAUGGUUGGACCCGCGGUGCAUUAGCUAGUUGGUGAGGUAACGGCUCACCAAGGCCACGAUGCAUAGCCGGCCUGAGAGGGUGAUCGGCCACACUGGGACUGAGACACGGCCCAGACUCCUACGGGAGGCAGCAGUAGGGAAUCUUCGGCAAUGGACGAAAGUCUGACCGAGCAACGCCGCGUGAGUGAAGAAGGUGUUCGGAUCGUAAAACUCUGUUGUUAGGGAAGAACAAGGACGUUAGUAACUGAACGUCACCUGACGGUAUCUAACCAGAAAGCCACGGCUAACUACGUG
rnacentral:rRNA from 1 species